GUCUGGUCAGGUCAACCUCCAAAGGCCCGUAACAUAAUAGAAAAGGAUCAAGAGUGAUUUUGGAGAGGCAAAUAGAAAAUAUCAAAUUGCAUCAACUCCAUCCUGAAGUUCACUGAUUCUUAUCCUCUGUCAUGUCUACUCUGACCUGCUUUGGGGGAAGACUUAUCAUUUGGAAGUAAGAGGUGGCAAACGAGUGUGAAUAAUGAAGAAGUAGGAGAAUUGGGAGAGCCUUGAAAAUCCAGAAGAGGUGGCUCAGAUGGUGCAGAGGAAGACAUACUGGCCAGAAAUGAACAUUCGAAGAAGAAUUUUGAUUAAUUAGACCAAAAGGAAAUGAAAGAAAUGAUGAAGG